AUCGCUUCUCGGCCUUUCGGCUAAGAUCAAGUGUAGUAUUUGUUCUUAUCAGUUUAAUAUCUGAUAUGUCCUCUAUUUUUCGCAAGCAGCUAGGUGAUUCUUACCACCAUCA
rnacentral:snRNA from 1 species